rnacentral:tRNA from 1 species
AAAUAAGAAGCUAUAUAUGCUUUUAGUUUCGACCUAAAGAUUGAUAAUAAACUUAUCCUUAUUUA